rnacentral:piRNA from 1 species
UUUUCUGUCGAGUUACAGAAA